rnacentral:rRNA from 1 species
CAGUAGCCGCGGUAACACAGAGGGUGCUAGCGUUGUUCGGAAUGACUGGGCGUAAAGGGCGCGUAGGCGGUUGGCAUAGUCAGAAGUGAAAGCCCCGGGCUCAACCUGGGAAUUGCUUUUGAUACUGUGUUGCUUGAGUUCGGGAGAGGUGAGUGGAAUUCCCAGUGUAGAGGUGAAAUUCGUAGAUAUUGGGAAGAACACCAGUGGCGAAGGCGACUCUCUGGUCUGUAACUGACGCUGAGGAGCGAAAGCGUGGGGAGUGAACAGGAUUAGAUACCCCUGUAGUCCCUGUCUCUUAUAC